CACAAAGGGAUAGCCUCGGGAAACUGGGAUUAAUACCUUAUGAUACUCUUUUCCAGCAUUGGAGAAAAGUCAAAGCGUAAAGCGGUGAAAGAUGGUCUCGCGUCCCAUUAGUUAGUUGGUGAGGUAACGGCUCACCAAGACUGCGAUGGGUAGCCGGCCUGAGAGGGUGAACGGCCACACUGGAACUGAGACACGGUCCAGACUCCUACGGGAGGCAGCAGUGGGGAAUAUUGCACAAUGGAGGAAACUCUGAUGCAGCGACGCCGCGUGAACGAUGAAGGCUUUCGGGUCGUAAAGUUCUGUCCUAGGGGACGAUAAUGACGGUACCCUAGGAGGAAGCCCCGGCUAACUACGUGCCAGCAGCCGCGGUAAUACGUAGGGGGCGAGCGUUGUCCGGAUUUAUUGGGCGUAAAGGGUUCGCAGGCGGUCUCUUAAGUUAGAUGUGAAAGAUCACGGCUCAACCGUGGUAAGCAUUUAAAACUGGGAGACUUGAGUUAAGGAGAGGAAAGUGGAAUUCCCGGUGUAGCGGUGAAAUGCGUAGAGAUCGG
rnacentral:rRNA from 1 species